rnacentral:rRNA from 1 species
AGUGAACGCUGGCGGUAGGCCUAACACAUGCAAGUCGAACGGCAGCACAGUAAGAGCUUGCUCUUACGGGUGGCGAGUGGCGGACGGGUGAGGAAUACAUCGGAAUCUACUUUUUCGUGGGGGAUAACGUAGGGAAACUUGCGCUAAUACCGCAUACGACCUACGGGUGAAAGCAGGGGAUCUUCGGACCUUGCGCGAUUGAAUGAGCCGAUGUCGGAUUAGCUAGUUGGCGGGGUAAAGGCCCACCAAGGCGACGAUCCGUAGCUGGUCUGAGAGGAUGAUCAGCCACACUGGAACUGAGACACGGUCCAGACUCCUACGGGAGGCAGCAGUGGGGAAUAUUGGACAAUGGGCGCAAGCCUGAUCCAGCCAUACCGCGUGGGUGAAGAAGGCCUUCGGGUUGUAAAGCCCUUUUGUUGGGAAAGAAAAGCAGCAGGUUAAUACCCCGCUGUUCUGACGGUACCCAAAGAAUAAGCACCGGCUAACUUCGU